UCUGAAUGUCAACGUGAAGAAAUUCAAGC
rnacentral:piRNA from 1 species